CAGGAACGCGAGGACGAGCUCCGCGCCAUGGCCCGGAAAAUCCGCAUGAAGGAGCGGGAGCGGCGGGAGAAGGAACGGGAGGAGUGGGAGCGGCAGUACAGCCGCCAGAGCCGCAGCCCCUCCCCCAGAUACGGUCGGGAGUACAGCUCAUCCCGCAGGUACGGCC